rnacentral:rRNA from 1 species
UCGAAGGUAGCAUAAUCAGUAGUCUUUUAAUUGAAGGCUGGUAUGAAUGGUUGGAUGAAAUAUUAACUGUUUCAUUUAAAAUUUUUAUAGAAUUUUAUUUUUUAGUUAAAAAGCUAAAAUAUUAUUAAAAGACGAGAAGACCCUAUAAAUCUUUAUAUUUUAUUUUUAUUAAUUAUUUAGAUGUUUUUGAUUAUUAUAAAUUAAAAUAUUUUAUUGGGGUGAUAUUAAAAUUUAAUAAACUUUUAAUUUUUAAAAACAUAAAUUCAUGAAUUUUUGAUCCAUUAUUAAUGAUUAAAAAUUUAAGUUACUUUAGGGAUAACAGCGUAAUUUUUUUGGAGAGUUCAUAUCGAUAAAAAAGAUUGCGACCUCGAUGUUGGAUUAA